rnacentral:rRNA from 1 species
UACGUAGGGGGCAAGCGUUGUCCGGAAUCAUUGGGCGUAAAGCGCGCGUAGGCGGUCAGGUAAGUCCGGUGUGAAAGUCAAAGGCUCAACCUUUGAAUGCCGCUGGAUACUGCUUGACUUGAGUCCGGAAGGGGCGAGUGGAAUUCCUGGUGUAGCGGUGAAAUGCGCAGAUAUCAGGAGGAACACCGGUGGCGAAGGCGGGUCUCUGGGCCGAUAUCGACGCUGAGGAGCGAAAGCGUGGGGAGCGAACAGG